GACGAACGCUGGCGGCGCGCCUAACACAUGCAAGUCGAGCGAAGCGGCGAACGGGUGAGUAACGCGUGAGGAACCUGUCUCUCACAACGGGAUAGCCUCGGGAAACCGGGAUUAAUACCGAAUGGUGAGAGAUGGCCUCGCGUCUGAUUAGUUAGUUGGUGGGGUAACGGCCUACCAAGACGACGAUCAGUAACCGGCCGGUACGGCAGGACGGUGACAUUUAAACUGAGCCACGGUCCCACCGCCUGCGGGAGGGAGCAGUGGUGGAUCUUGCACAAUGGGGUGAACCAUGAUGCAGGGCCGCCGCGUGAGCGCUGAAGUUUGUCGAAUCGUAAAGCACUGUCCUAUGGGAACCGUUACCCUAUGAGGAAGCCCCGGCUAACUACGUGCCAGCAGCCGCGGUAAUAC
rnacentral:rRNA from 1 species